CAGAGUCAUUCUGGAUGACCUAGAAAAUUCCUAGAGAGGUAUCAUAUUUAGGAAUUUGCUAGUUCUUCCAGGAAGACUGCA
ensembl:miRNA aca-mir-5435b aca-mir-5435b